CGUACACUCCUACGGGAGGCAGCAGUGGGGAAUAUUGCACAAUGGGCGCAAGCCUGAUGCAGCCAUGCCGCGUGUAUGAAGAAGGCCUUCGGGUUGUAAAGUACUUUCAGCGGGGAGGAAGGUGUUGAGGUUAAUAACCUCAGCAAUUGACGUUACCCGCAGAAGAAGCACCGGCUAACUCCGUGCCAGCAGCCGCGGUAAUACGGAGGGUGCAAGCGUUAAUCGGAAUUACUGGGCGUAAAGCGCACGCAGGCGGUCUGUCAAGUCGGAUGUGAAAUCCCCGGGCUCAACCUGGGAACUGCAUUCGAAACUGGCAGGCUAGAGUCUUGUAGAGGGGGGUAGAAUUCCAGGUGUAGCGGUGAAAUGCGUAGAGAUCUGGAGGAAUACCGGUGGCGAAGGCGGCCCCCUGGACAAAGACUGACGCUCAGGUGCGAAAGCGUGGGGAGCAAACAGGAUUAGAAACCCGGGUAGUCC
rnacentral:rRNA from 1 species